UAAUAAUUUUAAGUCUAAUCUGCCCAAUGAAAAUUAAAUGGCUGCAGUAUCAAUAACUGUACAAAGGUAGCAUAAUAAUUAGUUUUUUAAUUGAAAACUAGAAUGAAAGAUUAAAUGAAAUAUAAACUUUAUAAAUAAAACAAAAAUUAAAAUUAAAUUUUAAGUUAAAAUUCUUAAAUAUUUUUAAAAGACGAGAAGACCCUUUAGAAUUUUAUAUUAAUUAUAAUUAAAUUUAUAAUAAUUUUAAUAUAAAUUAUAAUUAAUAUUUAAUUGGGGUAAUUUUAUAAUUUAAUAAACUUUUAAAUAAUUAUUACAUUAAUUUAUGAUUAUAUAAUCCUA
rnacentral:rRNA from 1 species